rnacentral:rRNA from 1 species
GACGAACGCUGGCGGCAUGCCUAACACAUGCAAGUCGAACGGAGUUUUAAUCCGGAAGUUUUCGGAUGGAAAGAUUAAAACUUAGUGGCGGACGGGUGAGUAACGCGUGGGUAACCUGCCCUUUAGUGGGGAACAACAUCGAGAAAUCGGUGCUAAUACCGCAUACGCUUUAGAAGUCGCAUGGCUUUUAAAGGAAAGAUGGCCUCUUAACAAUGCUAUCGCUAAAGGAUGGACCCGCGUCUGAUUAGCUAGUUGGUGAGGUAAUGGCUCACCAAGGCAACGAUCAGUAGCCGGCCUGAGAGGGUGAACGGCCACACUGGGACUGAGACACGGCCCAGACUCCUACGGGAGGCAGCAGUGGGGAAUCUUCCGCAAUGGGCGCAAGCCUGACGGAGCAAUGCCGCGUGAGUGAAGAAGGCCUUCGGGUUGUAAAACUCUGUCCUAUUUGAAGAGAGGUAUGCGUGUGAAUAAUGCGUAUAUAGGACGGUAAAAUAGGAGGAAGCCCCGGCUAACUACGUGCCAGCAGCCGCGGUAAUACGUAGGGGGCAAGCGUUGUCCGGAAUCACUGGGCGUAAAGGGCGCGUAGGCGGUCUGUUAAGUCAGUUGUGAAAACUCGGGGCUCAACCCCAAGACUGCAAUUGAUACUGACAGACUUGAGUAUGGAAGANGAGAGUGGAAUUCCUAGUGUAGCGGUGAAAUGCGUA